GACAGGGGAUGCAAGCGUUAUCCGGCAUGAUUGGGCGUAAAGCGUCUGUAGGUGGCUUUUUAAGUCUGCCGUCAAAUCCCAGGGCUCAACCCUGGCCAGGCGGUGGAGACUACUAAGCUGGAGUAAGGUAGGGGCAGAGGGAAUUUCCGGUGGAGCGGUGAAAUGCGUAGAUAUCGGAAAGAACACCAAGGGCGAAGGCACUCUGCUGGGCCGAAACUGACACUGAGAGACGAGAGCUAGGGGAGCAAAGGGG
rnacentral:rRNA from 1 species